rnacentral:lncRNA from 1 species
UGCCAAGGUUUGAUGUUGGAUUAUUGCCUCUAUUUCUACUAUUGCCAAUUUUAAUAAUAAAAGGGUAUCAAGUUAAUGUGGUUGAAUCCAAAAACAUCUCUUUGGUGAAUAUCGAUGAUUGUUUUACUCUUAUAAUUUUUGGUUAACUUUCCUAGGCAUAGGGAAUGAUUAUUGGCAUUUUCAUGUGAAUUGGUCCGGUUAUUAACUUUAGUUCUCCAUGUUUGAAAAUGAGACUAGCUGAUGCAAGUUUUCUUUUGAUUCUUGUGUUAUAUUGAGUUUUUGUGAUUUUUAGCUAUGAAUAAACUUGACUGUACUCCGCUAUUAGUUACUACUGAGUAACCGGGGAUCUGCACCUAAAAGUGUUGAUUCUCGCGUCAAAAGGUAGUAAUUUCUAUGAGUACGUGGUCACGUGGCGAUAGAAUCUGAGUAACCGGGCUCCUUCAUAUGGCCAAUGUUGGAGUUCGCGUCAAAAAGCUCAAAUGGCUAGCGACUAAGUCUUUUGUUACUAUUGAAAAAAAAAAGAAUCAAAAAAAGAAAAGGAGAGAAAAGUAAAAAAAAAAAAAAUGUGAAAAAAUGAAUGUUGUGUUAGUGUACAAUAAAAGUCAGCUUGCCGAAUUAUGGAUUUAAUGUUGAGAUUUUGGUUAAUAGUUGGACCAUUUGUUGAUAAAUGUUAUGCGUCAUUCCUUCUUCUUAGAUUGGUUAACAUGAAAUUAGAGGAGUUUGUGGUUUAGAAGCUAACCGAAGUGAUAUUUCUUGGACUUGAACAUUGAUGCUUGAUUAUUAUUUUUCUUGGUAUCUUGGCAAUGUGUUGGAUAGAGCAGUUGCAACUAUCGAAUUUCGGUAUCUGUUUACUGUUCUUAUGCUUGAGGACAAGCAUGGUUUAGGUGUGGGGGGAAUUGAUAGGUUGCAAUUUUGUUAUUUAUUUUAUUAUUAAUUUCCCCUAUUACCUGACUUGAUGUGAAUUAAUUAUUAGAUUCUACUCAUUUUUCGUAAUUUAUAUUUAUUUCAGGGAGUAGAACAAAAAUAUCACAAUCAAGGCCAAUUUGACAAUUAUCAAGAAAGAGUUCAAGUAACAGGCAUCUAGGGACAUUUUUGGAAUAUCAAACCACAACCCUUCUUGGUAAUUGGCCCGCAGACAGCAUUAAAAGGAGGAGGCCAAAGUCUUCUUUUUCCUCUCUCGGCUGGGCGGCGGAAGCCGCACAGUAGCCAUUAGAAUAGGAGCAAUAGCUUAGCUUUUGAUUUCUCAUCUUUUAGUUUAGUCUUGCUUUUGACUUUUCCCUUGAAUUUACUUUUUGGCUUGAGAAACGUACGAAUGGCAGGCAUUAGCAAUUCUUAGCCUUGGACUUUUCUUGUUAGUUUUCCUUUGGCUUUUCUCCACGCAAGUGAGGAGGAAGCAACUUUUUCUUUUAGCUUUGACUUUUCCUCCUUGUACCGCUGGUAUGGUUUUGCCAUACGGAUGCUGGGAAUAAUAAAUAGACUCAAUUGUAGCUUGCGACUUUCAUUUGCGUUCUUACUAUUCGACGAAUUGCAACUUCCUGAAACGCAGAUAAUGGCCGCUGUUCCCUUUUCAAUUUCCCGUGGAUUUAGUUCAUCAAAUAUGAACUAAUUACACCACUCUAGUCAAGGAGCAACGAAGGCUCUGGUUCGCCUAAAAAUUGUGAGAUCGUUUUAAUUUAAUCUUUUCUUUUCAUUUAUUGGUAUCCGCAUAUUUCUUGGUUGCUAUGCUUAUGGUUAUUUAAUUAAUUGAUUGUCUUGGAUCCAGAUAAUUAGUUGAUUGGAUAAUCUAUUGUCAAUUAGGGCAUUAAAUCCGUAAUUGUUUAAUUGCUCUAAAAUAGUGGCAACUGGCAUAAUUAGACUUGUGUCAGGGGAAUACGCGGGCUAAUCUAAAAUAACCUUGGUAGUGCGUUAUUUGAUUAGAAUAGGGCUCCUCUAAUACAUAAGGCAAUUGGGGAAUUAAAUUCUACGGGCGUACCUAGAAUUAUUUCUCAAUUAGAGCAGUGAUUAACGGGCGUACCUUAAUCAUCGACACAGUAAGGAGGGGUUGACUGUCAUCGCUUGUUUGGCAGUUAUAACCUAUUUAUUAGUAAAUAAUUGGAAUUGCCUUUGCUUAUCGAUGAUCAAUUAGAUGAACCAUUGCUGAAGUUAUUCCUUAGCUAGAUCCUUAAUUAUCACUCAUUUGAUUUUAGUAAUUUGUUAUUUAAGUUUUAGUAGUUUCUUAGAUUUUAUUCGCAUUUAUUUGAUUGUCACUUUCUGCAUAAAAACAUCCCCCUUGUCACUGUGAACUUGAAAAAAAACAAUUACUCCCAGUCUCUGUGGAUUCGACCCUGCUCACCGCUAUCUACAGAAAUUAACUUUAGUUUGAGCAGGUUUUAUUAUUGCGCAGGCUGACAACCUGUCAAUUUUUGGCGCCGUUGCCGGGGACUGGCGCUAGUUAUUUGUUUCUUUUUAAGCUCAUAUUGUUUUCAUUUUUUUAUAUAGUUCAUGGCUGCUAGCAUUCCAUAUUUUGAUGAUAGACCGGACUUUGUUCCUGAAUGGGGUUAUGAGACUCAUGUUUUUCCUAAUGAUCAAUGGGUUGUUGCAAAUUGUGGAACUUAUUUUGACUCAGGUUAUUCAACUGACACAUGCCCCGCAUUUCAAGACAAUCUAAGUGCUCCAAUUGAUACUUUCGGAGAUUUUUCACCCCAAUAUCAAAUGCAGUAUGACCCUUAUUCAAACGGGUAUGAUCAAGGAUGGUGGGAUAAUUUCAGUUUUGAUUAUGCGACCGGGCCAUUGGAUUUUCAACAGCAAGAGUCUCAACACCAUCGUCCCUGUCAGGGUACAAGCAGCAAUACCAACCCCGACCACCUCCGCCCCCUCAAUCUGGUUCAUCUACGGAGGAGAUGCUGAAACAAAUGAUGACAACCAUGGCGCAAAAUCAGCAAAGGACGGAGGCAGCUAUUAUGCAAAAUCAGCAAAAGACGGACUCUGAAAUGCAGGACAUAAGGAAUCAGAUAUGUCAAUUGGCCACCAGAAUGAACCGUUUGGAGUCCCAGAACCAAGGGAAGCUGCCAUCUCAACCGGAGUUGAAUCCGAAGAACGGGAGCGCAAUGAUCCUAAGGAGUGGGAAAGAGGUUCAAGGGCCUGAGCCUGUGAUCCCUAAGGACAAGGAUGAGGAGAUGCAAGAAUGUCAAAAUGAGAAAUCUACAGAUGCAGUUGAAAAAGAAGCCGAAAAUGAAGAAAUGGAACUCCAACCGCAACCCAUUGAAGUGAAAGAAUCCAGUGAAGAAUCAUCAAAUGUGGUGACACCACCUCCAUUCCCUAACCCGCAUUUUCUUAACUCUUAUUCCAUGAUUUCUGUUAAUGAGAUUGAUUUUGUUAUACCGGAAGUUUUUGAGUCUCAUGGCAGAAAUAAGUUAAGAGUAGCUAUGGUCAAAUAUCUUGAACCGUUGAGUGCUCUUGAUGGAGGGGUGGAGGAAAAAUUGAGAUCACUCCUUGAUUAUUUGGCACCAUCAACUAAUCCAUGGAAGACCGUAGCUCGUGUGCUCAAGGAUUAUUCUAUUUACGAGGGUUAUCAGGACUAUAUAGAGGAUGAAGCAUUAAGGCGAGCUACAAGAUUUUAUCCGCCAUGAGCAAAACGUGAUAAUGUCUAGCCAAAGACAUUAAAGAAAGGCGCUCAUUGGGAGGCAACCCAAUUUCUUUUAGUUGUUUGUUUGAUUUUAUUUGUUAGUUUAAAUCUGUCUUCCUUGAAUUUGAUUGAUUUUGGGUGUUAAUUUUCGUUUUUGCUGAUUUGUAGGUGAUCUUCAGUCAUGACGCGCCCGCGUGGUGAUGUGCAGGACGCUCACGAUCAGAAAAUUCUGAAACUUCUGAGAGCUCUCUUACCCUCAUGACGCGCCCGCGUCACGUUCGCGGGAAAGGUAAGGAUUCAAAAAAAAAAAAAAUUUUCUAUUACUGUAGCGUUAAUUUCCAAAAUUCAAAAAAAAAAAUUUAAAAAAAAUGAUUUUCCGCAAAGGAAAAAAAAAACCAAAAAAAAAAAAAAAAAAAAAAAAUUUUUCAACCGUAGCUUGGUUUCUCAAUUUAAAAAAAAAAAAAACUCUUUCUUUUCUUUUCUUUCUUUUUUUUCUUUCUUUCUUCUUCCUCCUUCUUCUUUUCUUCCUCCUCUGUUCCCUCUCUGUUGCCCGAAUUCCCUUGCCCGCCGCCCACUCACGCCGCAUCCCACAUCACGCACGCCACCACCACCAGCUCCGCUACUCCUCCCUUCGAUCCGCCAGCCGUGUCCAGCAGCCGAGCGUCCAGCGCCGCCCACCUCCUUAACGCCGCCACCUCGCGUCUCGCGCAAUGGACCAGCCGGCCAUCCACUUCGCACCUCGCCGACCCUCGAUGCUUCCACUCCAGCUACGACCGCCGCAUCUACCUCCUUUUCCCCCUGGCGUCCUCCACAGCUCCUCGGUCCGCCUCCAACCUCGCCGCUCCACCCAGCUCAUCCGCCUCCAGCAGCACCAAAGGCAGCACCCACCUCGCGCCUCUUCCCAGCAGACGCCGCUGCUCGCUCUCGCCACUCGCUGCUGCGCCGCCCCGCUGCCCCACGCCCCUGCAGCUCGUCGACGAAGUCCACCAGCCCACCACCAGCGCGUGAGCUCUCAUCUCCGCCAGCUCCACCCUAGCUCGUUACCACCUGUCAAUUGUUGGCAGGUGGAGGUAUUGCGAUUCCUGCCUCAAUUUGUCUUAUUCUGAACCCUAAAUUGCGAAAAUUUUGCACCUUUGCUUGGGCUUCUUGUUGGAAAACAGCGGGCAGUAAUUUUGGGCAUUUUCUGGUCUAAUUUUGGGUAGAGUUGAGUUAAACUGCUGCGAUAUUUGGGGUACUUUGGGAGUUAGUUGACCAUUGCUUCUGGCUUUAAUUUCCGUUCAUUUUUGGCGCUGUUUGGGUGUUCGAAUCUAUUUUGUGCACUGGAUUGGUUAUUUGCUUUAAUUUCUCCCUAUGCACUCACCAGUGGUACUGGUGAUGGUAGUUGUUUAAUAUCUGAUAAUCCUGUGUUCUGGAUUGCCUAAUUAAGCGAGUUGUGCCUAUUGGGCGUUUUUGGUUGAGUCGUUCCAGUCCACCCUGAGUUUGAGUUUCUUUAUAGCUAAUAGCAGGGGUGAUUUAGGCAUAUUCUGGGGGUGUUUUUGGACAGAAUUGGGUUUAAUUGCUGCCAUAGUGGGGGUAUUUUCUGUUAUUUAUUGAAUUAUUGGCCGCUUGAUUAUUUUUCCCUGUGACUCACCAGUGGUACUGGUUGAUUAAUUUUCCAGUUUAAGUUCUUGCGGUUGAGUUGCUGCCGUUGAAUUUAAUUCUUUCCUGUCUGUGCACCAGUGGUACUGGUUGCAGUGUUGCUUUCCAUUUCUUAAUCCUCUGUACUGGCCUGCCUAUUUGAUUCUUGGGUUUUGGUGCCUGAACUGUUCUCGAAUUCUAACCAUUGGUUGUUGCCAUUGCCUGUUGCUUGGCCCAAUUGCUAAGUUUUGAUCGUUCGAGUUGUGCAAUUUCUUGUCCAAUUGGAGCCAUUUGGACAGAUUUUGGGUGGGCAAGUUUUGCCGCUCUCUGUUGAUCUUUGGGAGGCAUUUCUAACCGUAUUCUACGUAUUCAAAUUGGUUGAAUUCACUGCUUUGUUAAGGUUAUUUUUGGUAUCACUUGGGUUCUACUUGGCUGAUUUCUGUCUUGCGUCCCUUGAAGUGCCUUUGGUUGGGUAUUUUCUGCAUUUGUUUGUUGAAUUGGAAGGCUACUGUGCCACUUCCAUUGCUUAUUGCUGUUGGUGGCGUCUAAUUGACUUGCUGGGAGUAUUUUACCUAUUGAUUUCAAUUGCUAAAUCUUUAGAGCAUUUGUUGCGAUUUUGGACUGCCUGCAUUUGACCCAAUUGGGGCCACCCGUGAGUAUUGAUUGAAAUUGCUGUAUUGUUGGGAUAUUUGUCUUGUCUCCGGGUGCCUGGGUUGUGCAUUCUGUUGAUUGGGUUGUCUACUAGGGAGGCACCGGUGGCUAUUAAAUUAUUAUUGCUUUGAAUUUGCUGUUUACAUUACCUGUGGGCAAUUUUUGUCUCUUGUUGAUUGAAAUGACAUUUGGAGAAAAUGGUAAGACCCGAGCCCUCUUCUUCUGCGCCUCCCCCAUCGAUGGCCUCUGAUGUAAGUCGCACCACUUGCGGGCUCAGAUUCACAACGUAGAUGAGCGAGUGACGAACAUCACCCGCCAAGUGGUAAGGAUAUCUCAGAACUCGGCUUCCCUCCACUGUUCCCUCCUAUCCCUUAGCUGUUCAACAGGGAAGUUUCAUUGUUCUCUUCGCUUUCAUUACUUUAUUACCUCCAUUGAGGGCAAUGCAGGAUUUAGGUGUGGGGGGAGCAGUUAUGGUGCUAGUGUCUUUCAUUCAUUUUUUUUUUCUUUUUAGUGAUUGGCUCGUAAGUGCAUGCCAAGGUUUGAUGUUGGAUUAUUGCCUCUAUUUCUACUAUUGCCAAUUUUAAUAAUAAAAGGGUAUCAAGUUAAUGUGGUUGAAUCCAAAAACAUCUCUUUGGUGAAUAUCGAUGAUUGUUUUACUCUUAUAAUUUUUGGUUAACUUUCCUAGGCAUAGGGAAUGAUUAUUGGCAUUUUCAUGUGAAUUGGUCCGGUUAUUAACUUUAGUUCUCCAUGUUUGAAAAUGAGACUAGCUGAUGCAAGUUUUCUUUUGAUUCUUGUGUUAUAUUGAGUUUUUGUGAUUUUUAGCUAUGAAUAAACUUGACUGUACUCCGCUAUUAGUUACUACUGAGUAACCGGGGAUCUGCACCUAAAAGUGUUGAUUCUCGCGUCAAAAGGUAGUAAUUUCUAUGAGUACGUGGUCACGUGGCGAUAGAAUCUGAGUAACCGGGCUCCUUCAUAUGGCCAAUGUUGGAGUUCGCGUCAAAAAGCUCAAAUGGC